rnacentral:sRNA from 1 species
UCCCGGCCGAAGCUUCUGGGUAUUUCUAUUGCGCGAGGCAUUGUGGGUUGCUGGGUGGCCCGGUCUCGUAGAAGAGGGGAGAGUGGCGGGCCGCUGAAUAAGCUUCCAAAAUGAUGCCCACACCAGUUAUCCUAUUGAAAGAGGGGACUGAUAGCUCCCAAGGCAUCCCCCAGCUUGUGAGUAACAUCAGUGCCUGCCAGGUGAUUGCUGAGGCUGUAAGAACUACCCUGGGUCCCCGUGGCAUGGACAAGCUUAUUGUAGAUGGCAGAGGCAAAGCAACAAUUUCUAAUGAUGGGGCCACAAUUCUGAAACUUCUUGAUGUUGUCCAUCCUGCAGCAAAGACUUUGGUAGACAUUGCCAAAUCUCAAGAUGCUGAGGUGGGUGAUGGCACCACCUCAGUGACCUUGCUGGCUGCAGAGUUUCUGAAGCAGGUGAAACCCUAUGUGGAGGAAGGUUUACACCCCCAGAUCAUCAUUCGAGCUUUCCGCACAGCCACCCAGCUGGCAGUUAACAAGAUCAAAGAGAUUGCUGUGACCGUGAAGAAGGCAGAUAAAGUGUAAGUCUGUAGUGGGCUUUUUUUUUUUUUUAAAGAGACAGAGCCUCGCUGUAUUGCCCAGGCUAGUCUUGAACUACUGGCUCAAGUGAUCUCCCACCUGCGACUCCCAAAGUGCUGGGAUUACAGGUGCGAGUCACCAUGUCAGGCCUUUGUCAGAACCUUGACUGACUUCCUGUGGCCAAAUUGGAUGCAGAAGCAUGCUGCAAUCCCUCUAUGUGCCUGGGGCUGUUUGGCUCAUGCCAGACCCUUGGCUGUGUCCCAGCCCACAGAGCACAAAAGAAGCUGUCGACUGUAGUUUAAAAGCUGCCACAUAUGAGAUCUUUGACUGCAGUCUCCAUCUGUCACUGAUAAUCUGCCCUAAAGAUACAGAAGGUGAAGUUGGAGAAGGCUGAGUUUAGAGAGUGGAAGGGAACUACCUCCACAUUGUAAUAGAAUCAGAUAAGAGGGAUUUGGUUUUCAA